UACGUAGGGGUCGAGCGUUGUCCGGAUUUAUUGGGCGUAAAGAGCCCGCAGGCGGCUUGUCUAGUCCGAGGUGAAAUCUCCCGGCUCAACUGGGAGGGUGCCUCGGAAACUGGCAGGCUUGAGGCAGGGAGAGGGAUGUGGAAUUCCAGGUGUAGUGGUGAAAUGCGUAGAUAUCUGGAAGAACACCAAAGGCGAAGGCAGUGUCCUGGGUGGUCGCUGACGCUGAGAGGCGAAAGCCAGGGGAGCGAACGGG
rnacentral:rRNA from 1 species